AUACAACUUUCAGCAACGGAUCUCUUGGCUCUCGCAUCGAUGAAGAACGCAGCGAAAUGCGAUAAGUAAUGUGAAUUGCAGAAUUCAGUGAAUCAUCGAAUCUUUGAACGCACCUUGCGCUCCUUGGUAUUCCGAGGAGCAUGCCUGUUUGAGUGUCAUUAAAUUC
rnacentral:rRNA from 3 species